GGCGUUCACGGCGGUCACCGGGGGCGCCUCCCGGCGCGGCGAGGCGGGCGCAGUCACGACGCCGUGACUGCCGGCCCCCCGGCCGCGGCCCCCCGACAACGAGGCUCCAGGGAGCCAGUGGGAACCAUUCCAGGAUCCCCCGGCUUGCGCCCCCAGAGGCGAGGAGCUAAUCCCGGAGAGAGAGGUGUCCCCUUUGGAGCUGAAAUGGGGUCCCGACGGCAGAGCAGGAACGCCAAGAGAGGCUGGAAGGGGUGACUUCGACGGCAGGUCCAGUCUCGACCGCAAGGUAUCAGGAAUCUGAAUAACUAAAGCACCACAGCAAGAACACAGCUGAGGAAAAACCACUUUCAUGAAGAUGUUCAUUCAGGUCAUACAAGGACAGAUGUGGUUCACGUGCAUGACACACUCCCCUGGGCAAACGCAGAUGAGCAGCUACAGCAUCACUAAAUAGACUGAGUUGCAGGCAUUUCCAGGCUUCCUGGCUACAGUGGCAUCUUUCUCCUCCAUCUAUGAAUGCAUCUGAGAAGCCAAAAAGAUGGUGGCUGCCUACAAGCCCAGAGAAGAGGCCUCAGAAUGAAACCUACCUUGCCAGCACCUUGAUCUUAGGCUUUCCAGCAUCCAGACUGUAAGAAAAUAAACUCCUGUUGUUUAAGCCA